AACGAACGCUGGCGGCAUGCCUAACACAUGCAAGUCGAACGAGACCUUCGGGUCUACUGGUGCACGCGUGCGUAACGCGUGGGAACCUGCCCUUAGAUUCGGAAUAACUCCCCGAAAGGGGUGCUAAUACCGGCUAAUGUCCCCGGACCAAAGAUUUAUCGCCUUUGGAUGGGCCGGCGUUGGAUUAGCUAGUUGGUAGGGUAAAAGCCUACCAAGGCGACGAUCCAUAGCUGGGUUGAGAGGAUGAUCAGCCACACUGGGACUGAGACACGGCCCAGACUACUACGGGAGGCAGCAGUGGGGAAUAUUGGACAAUGGGCGAAGGCCUGAUCCAGCAAUGCCGCGUGAGUGAUGAAGGCCUUAGGGUUGUAAAGCUCGUUUACCCGGGAUGAUAAUGACAGUACCGGGAGAAUAAGCUCCGGCUAACUCCGUG
rnacentral:rRNA from 1 species